AUUGAACGCUGGCGGCAUGCUUUACACAUGCAAGUCGAACGGUAACAGGCCUUCGGGUGCUGACGAGUGGCGAACGGGUGAGUAAUGCAUCGGAACGUACCCAGAGGUGGGGGAUAACGCAGCGAAAGCUGUGCUAAUACCGCAUGUGAUCUGAGGAUGAAAGCGGGGGACCGAGCAGCAAUGUUUGGCCUCGCGCCUUUGGAGCGGCCGAUGUCGGAUUAGCUAGUUGGUGGGGUAAAGGCCUACCAAGGCGACGAUCCGUAGCUGGUCUGAGAGGACGACCAGCCGCACUGGGACUGAGACACGGCCCAGACUCCUACGGGAGGCAGCAGUGGGGAAUUUUGGACAAAGGGCGCAAGCCUGAUCCAGCAAUGCCGCGUGCGGGAAGAAGGCCUUCGGGUUGUAAACCGCUUUUGGCAGGAACGAAACGGUGUCCGCUAAUACCGGGCGCUAAUGACGGUACCUGCAGAAUAAGCACCGGCUAACUACGUG
rnacentral:rRNA from 1 species